AGGAAUCUAAGAAUAGCUGGAAACCUGCUUACUACAGCACAUUAUAAAUGUUAUUUAUGAUUACUUAAUGGCAUCGAACUGAACAACUAUGGGUUUAUGCAUACUUUAAAUAAAUAUUUUUAUGUUAAUUAUACUUCUGCUUCGAAUCACUGAUGUCAGCAGCUUCGUUAGGUCUCAGGCCAUUGAUUUUUUUCCCUGAUUAGCUG
rnacentral:lncRNA from 1 species